rnacentral:lncRNA from 1 species
GGUGGUGUGUCGCGGUAUCAGAUGCAUAUUUUCCUUCCUCUCCUAGGUGCGUUUCGUUUUUUUACUCUUUAGUAUGCAUAAUGUUUGAUUUACUGUGUGCAUGUUUGUCUGGCUUCUGUUUGCUUUUCGCUGGGUUUGUGUUUUUCCACUGUGUCCUUGUGCAGGAAGAGGACGACGAUAAUCGUAGGCCAGAGCGACAUCCGUUCUAGGCCUGAUUUUUCUUUUAUUUAUUUUUAUUUUAU